rnacentral:lncRNA from 1 species
AUGAGCAUUCAAGAGAUGCUCGGUGGGGAGAAACUCAGCCCAGGUUUUGUUUCCUCUUUCAGCUGCUCCCUGAGUCGCUUUGAGCUGGGUUUGUCUGCGGCAGUGGGAAGCUCCCAGCCUCUCCCACUCCUCCGGGAGCCACGAGCACCUUCAGAUGUGGUUUGCCCCAAAACGCUCCUCGGCAGAACAAAAAAAAAACAAAACAAAACAAAAAACCCCAAAAAAACCAAAACAAAAACCCAAAGCAUUUUUGACACAGUGGUCCCAGCCCAGCCGCUUUGCUCCUGCCCAGGAGCUGCCGUGCCCCUGGCACUGCCCAGUUUAUCCCAGCUGGCUCGGGAUGAGGCGGAUGCCCGCCGGGCUUUGCAUCCCAAGGUGUGGUGGAAAGAACCGGGUGGCUCUGGCAGCCUCCCCUGCUGCUCCCCGGCCAGGACGGACGGACUCGCCCCGCGGCCCCGGCCCGGCCUGUCCUCACUUGUCGGCAGCUCUCACCUCCCAUUCCCUGCCCGCAGCCCCGCGGGUCCUCAGCCAACCUCACAUUUCCUCAUUGCUAGGAAAUGGCGAAUUCCCCCCGGGCUGGUUUCAAUGGCUCACAGAUCCCUCGCCUUUGGCCUCUCCCCAGUUUCUCCUGCGCUGCUGCAGUGCAGCCCUCGGGAGCAGCGCUUUUUCCCAGGCAUGCAGCCUUUGGAAUUCUCGGUCUGGGAGGACAUCCCACCCCUCACACCAUGCUGGGUUCACCCCUCUGUGCUGACACAACACCCAGCCCUUUUUCUGUUGGGUGCAGCGGAUUUGGGGGAUUCUGACGUCCUCUGCUCCUCUCCGUCAGGGAAUCACUCGAGCUGUGUCACAGCACAGCUCCGGGAGCUGCGAUCCCAGCAUCCGGUUCCUCUUCUGUUUCUUAGUUUCACAUUAAAAAUUGCUUUUGUGGUCCCUCUCCGCAAACCUCUGCAAAAGUGGGGUCACUCCAGGGCUCCUGCCACGCUGAGGUUGCUGCUGGUCCCAUGA